UCCCUGGGGCCUCCGACCAGUGGGACAUGCCUGGAACACCUAUUCCGGGAGGCAUCCAGACCAGAUGCCCGAGUCACCUCAAUUGGCUCCUCUGGAUGUGGAGAAGAAGCGACUCUACUCCGAAGUCCCUCCAGACUCAAUUUCAAAGAGGAGCGACAGCAGCGGCCCAAGUGUUGGUUAAUCACAUUUUCUCAUUAAUCUAAAGCCACCGUAGAUGCCUUCCGAUUACGACAUGAAUAAUAAAUAGGUCUGUUAAGUCUUCUCGUGCUGGGAGAAGCCACAUUUAAUUCACAACCCAUCCGAGUGUGUUAAAAGAACUGCUUCUCCAAAGUGUAAAAUACCACAAACUGCCUCAGACACAUGACAUUGUUUUCUCCACUUAAUAAACAGCCAGUCAAGAUGUGUUAAAGUGGAACAUGCUGGUGGCGUGUUGUGCUUGGAAUAAGUGAGAGAGACGGACACUAAAGAGUACAGUGGUGAAUGUGUACAUGUGUGUGAAUAUGAUGUGCGUUCAAUAACACGCUGAAUGUGGGUUCUUGAGCACGCUUUUAGCAUAUGGUGUUCACACACCAGAGUCACUACCCGAUCCUAGCACAUGUACUUAGAAGAGGCGUGGUGUCGACGUGGUGCAAAUCUGUGAAUCUUGCUCCAGGCUUUUUCUUCCACAGCUCUAUUCUGAUAUAUAUAAAAGACUUGAUGUCAUAGAAUUCCAGACAGAAUGAUAAAAAUGUUUCCCUCAAUGUUUAUCAUCAAGUGUGAACUAGAUGUAUAGCAUUACCUGUGAUAAUGCAAGUGUGAAUGCUGUCAACUGAAUGUGACCGCUAAAGACGCCAGAGCUGUUAGCUGAAAAUGCUAAGCUAAAAGCUUGCUAAAAAUAUUAGCUACAUAGCAAAUUUAGCCAAAAAAAA